UACGUAGGGUGCGAGCGUUAAUCGGAUUUACUGGGCGUAAAGCGUGCGCAGGCGGCCCGUUAAGACAGGUGUGAAAUCCCUGGGCUCAACCUAGGAAUUGCGCUUGUGACUGGCGGGCUCGAGUACGGUAGAGGGGGGUGGAAUUCCUGGUGUAUCAGUGAAAUGCGUAGAGAUCAGGAGGAACACCGAUGGCGAAGGCAGCCCCCUGGGCCUGUACUGACGCUCAUGCACGAAAGCGUGGGGAGCAAACAGG
rnacentral:rRNA from 1 species